rnacentral:rRNA from 1 species
AAAAUGACUCUCGGCAACGGAUAUCUAGGCUCUUGCAUCGAUGAAGAACGUAGCGAAAUGCGAUACUUGGUGUGAAUUGCAGAAUCCCGUGAACCAUCGAGUCUUUGAACGCAAGUUGCGCCCGAAGCCAUUAGGUUGAGGGCACGUCUGCCUGGGUGUCACAG